rnacentral:lncRNA from 1 species
CAGGAGGUUGCAGUCAAUCUGUUGAUUACAGCUACUGUCAACUCAAGGCUUAACGGAGGCUGGAGCAUCCUCUUCCAAGUUUACUCACUUGGUUGACAGGCUCCAAUUUCUCACUAGUUGUUGGCUGGACACAUCAGUUCCUUAUGGGCCUAUCCAUAUGGCUGCUCACAACAUGGAAGCUAGUUUCCUGGAGCAAGUGAUCCAAGAGAUAACUUUCACAACCUUAUCACUUCUGCUGUAUGCUCGUGGUCACAAAGACCAAUCCCGGUACCAUGUGGGAGGAGAUUACAAGAGGAUAUGAAUAACAGGAGGUGGGGCCAACUUGAAGGUGAGCUACCACACCGUUAUCCCCUGAUUCAUAAGCUGAAGAUAAUCAUAACAAACCCAAAUCAAUGCCUAUUCUAUAAAAUAACUGGCCUGCAUUCUUCAACGUGUCAAGGUCAUAAAAAUCAAGGAAGAGUGGAGAAGUGUACCAGAAUGAAAAAGGCUAAAGAGACAUGACAACUAAAUGCACCAUCAGAUGCUGGACUGGAUCCCUUUGCAAUUAAGGACAUUUUAGGGAGUACUGGCAAAAACUUGAAUGGGUUUGAGGAUUAGAAAGUUGCAGUGUACUGAGGUUAAUUUCCCGAUUUUCCUGAUUGUAUUGUGAUUUUCUAGGAGAAUAUUCUUAUGUAUAAAAAUACCCACAAAAGUGGUAGAGAGAGAGAGGAUAUCAGGCCUGAAACUCACUCUCAAAUGAUUGGCAGUGGGGAGGGAAUGGUCUCUGUUUUAUAAUGGUAACUUUUAGAUAAGCUUGAGAUUCCCAAUUUAAAAUGUAUAUAAAUUAAAAGGACCUAUAAAUAUAAAAUUGUCUAGGUUAAAAUAUUAGGUAGAAUUAUAUGAAACUGCUACUUUUAUAGGUAAAAAGUGUAAAUAUUGGUGAUUUCAUAUGGUUCCAUUUAAUAUGAGAAAAUUACAACAAACUAAUCAACACCAAAGAUAAUGAAAUUCUAGAUUUACAUAAGAAUACAAAAUGAUUCAGUGCCUUUUCGAGGAUCUCUCUCCUGCAGUUAUUCACCCUGUCCAGUGCCCAGCAUCUGUCUCUGCCAUCAGCAUACAGAGAAUCUGCUGUGUAACUCCUGUCUGAGGAACGAUCAUUCCUCAAGUUCAUAUUCCCCUCCAGAUACUGUCCUAUUCCUCUGCACCCCUUUAUAGUAACAUUUUUUGAAAGAAUGGCUUCUACUCCUGAUGCUCUCUUACUUGCCAUUUUUUCCUAAAUUCAUUCCAAGUGGGCUUGCAAGGCUACCACCCACAGAAACACUCUCAUCAGGAUCAUUAAUAACCUUCCUGUUGCCUAAACCAAUAAUCAUUUUUCUGUAUUCAACACUGCUGCCCAUUUUCCUUCUUGAAACACUUUCUUCUCUUGGCUCCCAUGAAACCAACUCCUCUUGAGUUUCCUCCUAUUUCCCUCUUUGCUUACAUCCUUGUCCACUACAAUUCAGAAAGCACCCAUGGUCAUCUUUUAGAGAUGUAAAUCAGAGAUGCAGCUCUCUACUUAAAACCUUCUGGAUGAGUUCAGAGUAACAGCUAAGCUCCUGUGAGAGGUUCCCUGAGAUCUGGCCCCUACCUAUGCCUCACUCCAUCCCACAGCACAUGCCUCUGUGCCUUUGACCCAGGCUUCAGCUUGCAUAUUAGUCCAUUUUUACACUGCUAUAAAGAACUGCCUGAGACUGGCUGAUUUACAGAGAAAAGGGGUUUGCUUGACUCACAGUUCAGCAUGGCUAGGGAGGCCUCAGGAAAUUUACAAUCAUGGAAAAGGGGAAGCAAGGCACCUUCUUCACAAGGUGGCAGGAAGGAGAAGUGACAAGCGAAAGGGAAGAGCUCCUUAUAAAACCAUCUCAAGAGAACUCACUCACUAUCACGAGAACAGCAUGGGGAAAAACCAUCCCUGUGAUUCAAUUACCUCCACCUGGUCUCUCCCUUGACACAAGGGGAUUAUAAUUCAAGAUGAGAUUUGAGCAGGGACACAAAGCCUAACCAUAUCAGCUUGCUUCUCAAACAUGCCAAGUUUAUUCCUGCCCUGGUCUUUUGUGUAUGUUCUCUCUGCUUCAAACACUCUUCCCCAGUCAUCUCAUGUAGACUGCUCUUUUUCACUAAGUUCUCAGCUUAAACAUUAACUCCUCAGAGAAAACUUUCCUCUAAGCCUAAUUUAAAACAGCUCCUGACCUGUACCUGCUCCAAGCACUCUCUCGCAUUCCCCUGCUUUGUGUUCUUCAGGGUAUUUACCCUAAUAUGAAACUGUCUUACUUAUACAUGUAUUAGGUCAAUACUAGUCUGCCCACUCUAAAACAGAAGGGCCCUGGGGAAUCUUGUCAGUCUUGUUUUCUACUAUGUCCCCAGUGACUAGAACAGUGCCUGACACAUAGUAGGUGCUUAGGUAUUUGGUGAAUAAAUGAAUCACCUACGUUCUUUCAAGCUGUUAAUGAUUCCAACUAUUAGAUGACUUGUGGCUAUGAUAAUAAUUAUAGAAUCUUUAAAUGACCUUUAUUCCAAUCAUCUUGUCCAACCUCAAACCAAAUGAAGAUGCUCUCCAUCACAUUGCUGAUAGAAGGUCAUCUGCCUCUGCUUGAGUACUCGAGUAAUGGAUACCCAGGACUUUCAAUCAUGGAAUGUUUACAGGUCAUUGUCAAUAGCUCUGGUUGUUAGAAAGAUGUCCUCUUCAGCAACCCUAAAUCUUCCUCCCUAUAUGUUUCACUUAUUGGUCCCUGAAGCAACUCAAACAGCUCUGCUUCACUUGACAGUGAUUCGAAUAUUACUUGAGGGAAUGAUCACAUGAUUCCUAAUUCUCUUUUCUGAGAUAAAUACUCCCAGUUAUCUCAGCACUGCACGUGACAUGAAAAAUUAACCAACACUGCACAUGAGAAAGGUCUGUGAAAUUUUACCAGCUUGGUUUUAAAAAAAUAAAACCUUUCUAAGCAUCUUAUCUGGGAACUACAACACAAGAGUAUCCUUGGAUAUUCCGAGAAUGUGGUCUCAUUUCUCACAGCUGUCUUUCUGUUCUCUGACCAGCCUGGUUCUCUGCCUCAUACUCUUUCUGAUACUGAGGGAACUGGGACAACUAUAGACAGCUAGGCCCACAAGCAUCUUUCCUGGGACAAAAACUUACCUUUUUCAGAACGUAUUUUUCUGUUUUCACUUCUAAACAAAUUUUAUAUUUAAUAAGAUGAGGGAAAACUUGGACUGCUCACUAAUAAGCUUUGUGGCAAGGACUCUUUGCUGAGGGCACUAAACAAUUUAUUGCAUGAGUAUUCCAUGAGUGAACAAACAGUUUGGAUCUUAAUUCCCAUUGGGCUUUGAAUGCGUAUGCAGCACAGGAGGAAGAAUGUCUGUCGUGGCUAAACAGGCAGCAUUUUAGUGCUGAUUUGUACCCUUCACGUGACUUAAACAACUGAGUGAGCACUCAAUUAUUAUUGAAUGAAGGAGUGAGCAAGGGAAUAAAUGAACCAAUGAACCAGACAAUCCCAGAACUAAUGCUCUAGCCCAUGCACCAGCAAGGCAGCCACGACCUGGACAGGCAAGGACUCACAGCUCAGCAGCGGAAGGAAUGGGAUCAGAUCCCAGGGUGCCUGAUUCUCUGGCCUAGAAUUCUUUCCACAGAUUCAUGCUACCUCUCUUUUUGGGCACCUGUGCAAAUGAAUUUCCAGUUAACUGGAAAAGUACGAAGGAUUUUGUUUUUAAUAACUAAGUCACUGUGAUCAACUUCCCUACAUCCAUGCACCCUGAAUGAGUAUUCUAAGCCAAUCACCAUCAGCCCAUACAUAGCCUGGCAGUAACAUACUUAGGGGUUAGCCUGUGACCCAAUCCUGGCCAUUUGACAUGAGAAAUUUGCUGAGCAGGUUCUGGGACUCCUUGCCCCUAAGGAGGAGACACAGAGUCAGUGUUUCCCUUCUGCCCUGGGCACUACUGUGUCUGACUGUGGCACCUGGAACUGCUGUGGCCAUCUUCCUACUGGUCUGAAGAUGGGGCAAUACUGACAAUGGGGGAGCAGAGAGAUGGAAAAACCUGGGCACUUCAUGAUCACACGAAGCCCCUGAAUCCACCAGCUCUGGAGCUUGCCCAUCUGCAAUCUUUCAGGGAAGUAAGAUAAUAAAUUAUCUUACUGUUUAAACCAGUUGAGUUAGAGGUUCUGUUAUUUGGAGCUGAAAGCAUCCUAAGAAGUUCAGACAGUUUUUGAUAGAACCCUUUAAAAAGAGAACAUUUGCUUCCUGAAUUCCUUAAAAAAUCAUAAAUCAUAGAAAAUAAGAUUUCUUCAACCAGUCACAGAUAUCAUCCUGCUGGCAAAUACUGAGCAAGGCUGUAACAUAAUAACGUCCCUGGUUGCCUUAGUAAUGCAUAUUGACAUAAAUAAUCAACUACCCUAUGCGAACAAGUUCUCAAACUUUUCAGUCUCAGAAUCCCUUCACACUCUUAAAAGCAUUACUGAAGACCCCAAUUAGCUUUGGUUAAUAUGGGUUAUAUCUAGUGAUAUUUACCAUAUAAGACAUUAAGACAGAAGUUAAAAAAUAAUUAUUAAAAUAACAAACCCAACACAUGAUAGCAUAAACAACUUCUUAAUGAAAAAUAACAAUUUUUAAAACAAAAAACUUAGUGGCAAAAGAAGCAAUGUUUCACAGCUUGCGAAUCUUUUCUAUAUCUGGCUUAAUAGAAGACAACUGGAUUCUCAAAUCUGCUUUUGCAGAAUCUGUCGUGAUACAUUGUUUUGGUUGGCAUAUAUGAAGAAAAUAUGGCCUCACAGAGAUAAGUGGUUAGAAAAGGAAGCAGUAUUUUAAUAGCCUUCCAAAUAAGCCUUCAAAUAUUUUUAUUUGAUACUACAACAAAAUUUGACAAGUUUCUUAAAGGUUAGUUGCAAUGUAGAACUGAAACUAUAUCAAUGAACUUCUCAUACUCUCUUAUCCAUUGAUGCAUGUCACACUUGGAAUGAAUGCUUUUUACCCAUGCAUGAGUUUUUAACAGCAUAUAUUGAUCAUUUGGAAAAUACUGGUUCACCCAGAUAUGAAGAUCUUCUAAAUGGUAACAUAUCUGAUUAUACAUCAAAAAAAUCACAUUUGUUAAGACUGCUACUGAUCUCAUAAAACAAUCUUAAGUAUUGUUCACGGUGGUAGAUA